rnacentral:rRNA from 1 species
GCGCACGGGUGCGUUAACGCGUAUGCAACCUACCUUUAUCAGGGGGAUAGCCUCUCGAAAGAGAGAUUAACACCGCAUAAAAUCACAAGCUGGCAUCAGCAAAUGAUCAAAUAUUUAUAGGAUAAAGAUGGGCAUGCGUGACAUUAGUUUGUUGGUGAGGUAACGGCUCACCAAGACUACGAUGUCUAGGGGAUCUGAGAGGAUGACCCCCCACACUGGUACUGAGACACGGACCAGACUCCUACGGGAGGCAGCAGUAAGGAAUAUUGGUCAAUGGGGGCAACCCUGAACCAGCCAUGCCGCGUGCAGGAAGACGGCCCUCUGGGUUGUAAACUGCUUUUAUCCGGGAAUAAACCCUUUUACGUGUAAGAGGUUGAAUGUACCGGAAGAAUAAGGAUCGGCUAACU